UCCGGCUUAUCACCGGCGGUUUCUUUAGAGUGCCCAACUAAAUGAUGGCAACUAAAGACGAGGGUUGCGCUCGUUGCGGGACUUAACCCAACAUCUCACGACACGAGCUGACGACAGCCAUGCAGCAUCUGUGCACGCUCCCUCGCGGGUCCUCGGUGUUUCCACCUCGUACCACGUGCAUGUCAAGCCCGGGUAAGGUUCUUCGCGUUGCGUCGAAUUAAACCACACGCUCCGCUGCUUGUGCGGGCCCCCGUCAAUUCUUUUGAGUUUUAGCCUUGCGGCCGUACUCCCCAGGCGGAACACUUAUCGCGUUGACUGCGGCACAGACAGAUUCGACUCCGCCCACACCUAGUGUUCAUCGUUUACGGCGUGGACUAC
rnacentral:misc_RNA from 1 species